UCCUGCUGCCGCCUCCGCUUCCGCUCCUCCUGCUGCCGCUGCUGCCGCUGCCGCUGCUCCUGCCGCCGCCGCCUCCGCUGCCGCUCCUCCUGCUGCCUCCGCUGCCGCUGCUGGAGCCCGAGUCUUUCCAACAUGGCCGCAGCUGGCAGGGCUCACUGACAGGAGGAGAGAGGGGCCCUGCUGUACGAGACCGGUGCCAGCUGAAGUGGCCUGGUUACCUUGAGCAGUGUGGUCUUGGUGGGGUUGAGUUUAGAGUUGCAGUCAACCACAGCCUCCACAGCUGGAGAAUUAUCUCCUACGACCAGCAGAGUGGAACACCUGUAAAAAAAAGUAGGUCAACAGGCGUUAUUGGCAGAUAAGGAACGGGCCUCUCGACCUCCAGAGCGCCGCGGCUGUUGUAGGAGUGGAAGAACUGACUCACGUUGGACUGGUUCAUUGUUGUCGUGAUGUGGUGACGGAACGUAGCAAUGAGGUCAUGGUUGGUCUGGAUCUCCUCCUGAAAAAGCAGUUGGAAAUUCAGACGGAGAUGUUCUGUGUCCGAUAUGUAAGACCCAGUGGACAUUUGACAAAGUUGUUUAACAUUUGUGUGUCCAUCCUUUUGUUGUCAUGGUAACGAAAGCCAGUCAUUAAAGAUGGCGCCUGAUACCUUACCUUUCCAAACAA